rnacentral:tRNA from 1 species
GAAUGUGGCUCAAGCGGUAGUGCGCUCGCCUGGCAUGCGUGCUACCUGGGUUCGAUCCUCAGCACCA